rnacentral:rRNA from 1 species
UACGUAGGGUGCGAGCGUUAAUCGGAAUUACUGGGCGUAAAGCGUGCGCAGGCGGUUCGUUAUGUCCGAUGUGAAAGCCCCGAGCUCAACUUGGGAAUGGCAUUGGAAACUGGCGGGCUGGAGUGUGGCAGAGGGGGGUGGAAUUCCGCGUGUAGCAGUGAAAUGCGUAGAGAUGCGGAGGAACACCGAUGGCGAAGGCAGCCCCCUGGGCCGACAUGACGCUCAGGCACGAAAGCGUGGGGAGCAAACAGG